UACGUAGGGUGCAAGCGUUAAUCGGAAUUACUGGGCGUAAAGCGUGCGCAGGCGGUUUUGUAAGCCAGAUGUGAAAUCCCCGGGCUCAACCUGGGAACUGCAUUUGUGACUGUAGAGCUGGAGUGCGGCAGAGGGGGAUGGAAUUCCGCGUGUAGCAGUGAAAUGCGUAGAUAUGCGGAGGAACACCGAUGGCGAAGGCAAGCCCCUGGGCCUGCACUGACGCUCAUGCACGAAAGCGUGGGGAGCAAACAGG
rnacentral:rRNA from 1 species